UGGGGAAUAUUGGACAAUGGAGGAAACUCUGAUCCAGCAAUUCUGUGUGUGUGAAGAAGGUUUUAGGACUGUAAAACACUUUUAGUAGGGAAGAAAAAAAUGACGGUACCUACAGAAGAAGCAACGGCUAAAUACGUGCCAGCAGCCGCGGUAAUACGUAUGUUGCGAGCGUUAUCCGGAAUUAUUGGGCUUAAAGGGCAUCUAGGCGGUAAGACAAGUUGAAGGUGAAAACCUGUGGCUCAACCAUAGGCUUGCCUACAAAGCUGUUGAACUAGAGUACUGGAAAGGUGGGUGGAACUACACGAGUAGAGGUGAAAUUCGUAGAUAUGUGUAGGAAUGCCGAUGAUGAAGAUAACUCACUGGACAGAAACUGACGCUGAAGUGCGAAAGCUAGGGGAGCAAACAGG
rnacentral:rRNA from 1 species